rnacentral:tRNA from 3 species
UUCUUAUUAGCUUAAUGGUAGAGCAAGAUACUUCUAAUAUCCUGAUUCUAGUUCGAAUCUAGAAUAAGAAU